rnacentral:rRNA from 1 species
UACGAAGGGGGCUAGCGUUGCUCGGAAUCACUGGGCGUAAAGGGCGCGUAGGCGGAUUUUUAAGUCAGGGGUGAAAUCCCGAGGCUCAACCUCGGAACUGCCUUUGAUACUGGAGAUCUUGAGUCCGGAAGAGGUAAGUGGAACUGCGAGUGUAGAGGUGAAAUUCGUAGAUAUUCGCAAGAACACCAGUGGCGAAGGCGGCUUACUGGUCCGGUUCUGACGCUGAGGCACGAAAGCGUGGGGAGCAAACAGG